AUCCAACUGACGAAUCCCAAACGGGACGAAAUUUGCGUCCUGGAU
rfam:Schistosoma haematobium scaffold512_7, whole genome shotgun sequence.